UCUCCGUUGGUGAACCAGCGGAGGGAUCAUUACCGAGUGUAAAAACUCCCAAACCAUUGUGAACCUACCACUGUUGCUUCGGCGGCCUCGCCCCGGGCGCGUUCGCGCGGCCCGGACCCAGGCGUCCGCCGGAGGCUCCAAACUCUGUUUUUAGUGGAACUUCUGAGUAAAACAAACAAAUAAAUCAAAACUUUCAACAACGGAUCUCUUGGUUCUG
rnacentral:misc_RNA from 1 species